rnacentral:lncRNA from 1 species
GCAGUGGGACUGAACCCGGAACCAUGUGAUUGGUAAGCAAGCUACUUACUACACAGCCACUCCUACGACGUUCAUAUAUUUUUUGUGCAUUUGAGAGCAAAAUACAUUGAAAUUCCUUUAACCGGAAUUCGAAACCAAAUACUACAUCGCUGGAAGCAAGCUUACAUUUUGCGUUGUCGUUGUGUAACUUUAGGUCAAAUCAGAUCGAAACUAUUAAUCAUAAAGUUUCAGGAGCGCAAUUUCUAUCUUAUUUUUGGACAAUGUAUCUUCUAGAACUAUUGCCCAAUUUGUGUGUUCCCAUAUUAAUACGGUAUGAGAUUUGAGGGGAUUUUAUUGGUGUACUUUCUUUAGCAGCUUAUGCAACCACGAAGAGAUUUUCUCGGUUGGCUACUGUUAUGUCUCAAACUACAGCUAUAUAGCACCUUCAGAUAAUCUCUACUCAACCGCUACACAACUGCUACUCGACUGCUACUCAACACCUACCACGGCCAGACUACCUCUAUUUAUAUGUCUUGUGAGAUCCUACUUCUUCGCCUGGGGGCAUCGACACAACAGCUACCAUGAAAAUACUGCUUGCUGAUUGAUCUCAGACCAGACCAGAUAAUCAGACGAUAUUGCAAAUACUCAUUCACCCUAUGUUGUCUCAGAACGGUGAAAGUGAAGCCAGUGGCGAUGGUGAUAAUAAGACGAGCAGCGGCAGUACAUCGGAAUCCAAAAUGGACAUUGUAAAGUGAAAUGAAAACGUGAGAAAAUGACAAACGUAGCAUGUGUUUAAAACAUGAAACGUCCCACUGCUGUAACAAGUCUAAAGAACAAAGAGUGCUUUAUACAGCGAUGGGAAAAUUGCAGUAUCAACACAUAUAUUGCACGAUAAUUAGUAAGAAAUGAAACUCACUGAUUAGGAGAGAUAGAAAAUGUACUGGCUGUGUGGAUGGACAACAAUAGUGCCGCAAGCCUAUAAAUCUUUUAUUUAAUCCAGCGGAAGGUUGCAAUUAUCUUUGAAGUUUUAAGUGCUGAAUAUGUUCAGUAUAUUGGUGAAUAAACGUUUACUGGUAAUCAUGGAUGGUUGCACAGAUUUAAGGCUUGCUCAGCGUGCGAAAUAUAAAGGGGAACUGAGAGACUACGAGGUUUGACGAAGAAGCAGAAUGGGAGUUUUCUAAAUUAUUGUGGUUGUGUGAUAAGAAGCUUGGUACGUGUGGUAUGA